UACGGGGGGGGCAAGCGUUGUUCGGAAUUACUGGGCGUAAAGGGCUCGUAGGCGGCCAACUAAGUCAGACGUGAAAUCCCUCGGCUUAACCGGGGAACUGCGUCUGAUACUGGAUGGCUUGAGAUUGGGAGAGGGAUGCGGAAUUCCCGGUGUAGCGGUGAAAUGCGUAGAGAUCGGGAGGAACACCAGUGGCGAAGGCGGCCUUCUGGACCAGCCACUGACACUCAAGCACGAAAGCGUGGGGAGCAAACAGG
rnacentral:rRNA from 1 species